UUUGGUCGGCGUGGUCCUCAGCAAGUCCAUUUGGAUUGGGCCUUAGCAAUGCUUUUGGGCCUGUCGGACCCAGUCCAGAACAUUUAUCUAUUUGCACCUUUAACACAAAAAAGAAGUAUGAUACUGUUCACAAAAAUAUUUUGUCAAUUAGCCAAUUUCAAUGCCCAAAGCUACAACUUUGCCAAUUUCAAUGCCCAAAGCUACGGCUUUACCAAUUUCAAGAAAACCACUCUUUCGUUCAUCUGCUUUUUUCCAAGAGAACCCACCAUCAUUUUUCAUAAACUCACCAUAACUUGUGAUAAAUAG